GACGAACGCUGGCGGCGUGCUUAACACAUGCAAGUCGAACGGAAAGGCCCUGCAUUUGUGGGGUGCUCGAGUGGCGAACGGGUGAGUAACACGUGAGUAACCUGCCCUUGACUUUGGGGUAACUUCAGGAAACUGGAGCUAACAUCCGAUAGGAGCACCUGCUGCAUGGUGGGGGAUGGAAAGUUUCGGCGGUUUGGGAUGGACGCGAGGAUCAUCAUCUUGUUGGGGGGGUAGUGGCUUACCAAGGCUUUGACGGGUUGCCGGACUGGGAGGGUGACCGGCCACAAGGGGACUAAGGGAGGGCCCAGAGGGCUACUGUGGGCAGCGGUGGGAAUUAUUGCACAAUAGGCCGAAGUCGGAUGCAACGACGUCGGGUUCGUAAAGACGGUCUGCGGGGUAAAAACCGGUUGCGCCUGUGACGAUGCGUGAGUGACGGUAACUGGUAAAUAAGCACCGGCUAACUACGUG
rnacentral:rRNA from 1 species